rnacentral:rRNA from 1 species
GGCUUAACACAUGCAAGUCGAGGGGCAUCAGGAAGAAAGCUUGCUUUCUUUGCUGGCGACCGGCGCACGGGUGAGUAACACGUAUCCAACCUGCCCUUUACUCGGGGAUAGCCUUUCGAAAGAAAGAUUAAUACCCGAUGGGAUAAUCAUUCCGCAUGGUUUGAUUAUUAAAGGAUUCCGGUAAAGGAUGGGGAUGCGUUCCAUUAGGUUGUUGGUGAGGUAACGGCCCACCAAGCCUUCGAUGGAUAGGGGUUCUGAGAGGAAGGUCCCCCACAUUGGAACUGAGACACGGUCCAAACUCCUACGGGAGGCAGCAGUGAGGAAUAUUGGUCAAUGGGCGAUGGCCUGAACCAGCCAAGUAGCGUGAAGGAUGACUGCCCUAUGGGUUGUAAACUUCUUUUAUAUUAGAAUAAAGUGCAGUAUGUAUACUGUUUUGUAUGUAUAAUAUGAAUAAGGAUCGGCUAACUCCGUGCCAGCAGCCGCGGUAAUACGGAGGAUCCGAGCGUUAUCCGGAUUUAUUGGGUUUAAAGGGAGCGUAGGUGGACUGGUAAGUCAGUUGUGAAAGUUUGCGGCUCAACCGUAAAAUUGCAGUUGAUACUGUCAGUCUUGAGUACAGUAGAGGUGGGCGGAAUUCGUGGUGUAGCGGUGAAAUGCUUAGAUAUCACGAAGACUCCGAUUGCGAAGGCAGCUCACUGGACUGCAACUGACACUGAUGCU